AGUUAGACUGCAAACACAAUCCUUUUCUUUUCUUUUCUUUUCUUUUUUUGAGACAGAGACUCGCUCUAUUGCCCAGGCUGGAGUGCAGUGGUGCGAUCUCGGCUCACUGCAACCUCUGCCUCCCGGGUUCAAGCGAUUCUCCUGCCUCAGCCUCCCGAGUAGCUGGGAUUACAGGUGCCUGCCAUCCCGCCCAGCUAAUUUUUGUAUUUUUAGUAGAGAUGGGGUUUCACCAUCUUAGCCAGGAUGGUCUUGAUCUCCUGACUUCGUGGUCCGCCCGCCUCAGCCUUCCAAAGUGCUGGGAUUAUAGGCAUGAGCCACCGCACCCAGCUGUCCUUUUCUUAAAGGAUAGAAUUUUUCUCAAUGGGGCAAAGCAAUGCAACAUUCACAGUCAGAGAAAAGAAAUCCUCCCAUCCUCACUGUUCUCUUUGGUCUUUUCCUCUCCCAGGCACCAGCCCUUUCACCUGAUGGCAGAGCAGCACAGCUGAAAGCGGUAACCUGGGUGAUGUGGAGGACGACUAGCAGGCAUGCACAGAGAGCGGAGCAUGUGGAUGAAAGACAUGGGGGAAAGCUCUGUCAUUUGAAGAGGUGCCUGGAGAAGCAGCUGGGGGUGACUGGGAAUGCUGACCCAAAGAGAGACAGACAGAAGCUUUCCAGAGGAGGAUGGAGUAGCCAGGGAUGCUCACCUGAGAUCCUCCUCUGUUGCUUGUGAUUAUUGAUAAGACUUGAAUUCAGUUCCACAUUGGCCUGAACAUGCCCCAGUCUGUAGAAACCACAGUUCUGAAGUCCUGAGGGAUCCUCUUCUACAGGUAAGCAAGGCUUCCACACAUAAAGUAGAGAAUACACCCUUUCCCACCCUAGGAAGCCUUGGACUGCACU
rnacentral:lncRNA from 1 species